CGCCUGUUUAUUAAAMACAUGUCCUAUUGAUAUAUUAAUUUUAGGUCUGGCCUGCUCAAUGAGGAAUUAAAUGGCCGCGGUAUACUGACCGUGCAAAGGUAGCAUAAUCAUUAGUUUUUUAAUUGAAAGCUUGUAUGAAAGGUUUGAUGAAAAAAUUACUGUCUCUAUUUAAAUUUAUUAAAAUUUUAUUUUUAAGUAAAAAAGCUUAGAUAAGUUUAGAAGACGAGAAGACCCUAUAGAGUUUUAUAAUUUAAGAAAUAAGAUAUAUAAUUAGAAUUUAUAGUAGAAUAUUGAUUAAGUUAUUUUGUUGGGGAGAUAGAAAAAUUAAAUUAACUUUUUUUAGAUUUAAACAUUAGUUUAUGAAAAAUUGAUCCUUUAUUGAAGAUUAUAAGAUAAAAUUACCUUAGGGAUAACAGCGUUAUUUUCUUUUAGAGUUCAAAUCAAAAGGAAAGUUUGCGACCUCGAUGUUGGAUUAAAAAAAAUAAUUGGUGUAGAAGCUGAUAUAUUUAGGUCUGUUCGACCUUUAAAAUUUUACAUGAUCUGAGUUUAAACCGGKGUAAGCCAGGUCGGUUUCUAUCU
rnacentral:rRNA from 1 species